GUGCAUAUGAUGUAAACUUACCCUGUCUGAAUACAUUGAUGUGUUCAAAGGAACCACUGAUGCAC